rnacentral:rRNA from 1 species
GGUGAACGCUGGCGGCGUGCUUAAGACAUGCAAGUCGAACGGGCUCUUCGGAGCCAGUGGCGCACGGGUGAGUAACGCGUAACUGACCUACCCCAAAGUCGCGGAUAACGAUUCGAAAGAAUCGCUAAUACGUGAUGUGCUGUCAGAUCUUGUUCUGCCAGUAAAGAUUUAUUGCUUUGGGAUGGGGUUGCGUUCCAUCAGCUAGUUGGUGGGGUAAAGGCCCACCAAGGCGACGACGGAUAGCCGGCCUGAGAGGGUGGCCGGCCACAGGGGCGCUGAGACACGGGUCCCACUCCUACGGGAGGCAGAAGUUAGGAAUCUUCCACAAUGGGCGAAAGCCUGAUGGAGCGACGCCGCGUGAGGGAUGAAGGUCUUCGGAUCGUAAACCUCUGAAUCAGGGACGAAAGACACUUUAUGUGGGAUGACGGUACCUGAGUAAUAGCACCGGCUAACUCCGUGCCAGCCGCCGCCGUAAGAC